AAUGAACGUUGGCGGCGUGGAUUAGGCAUGCAAGUCGUGCGAUAACCCCGCAAGGGGGGAAAGCGGCGAAAGGGAGAGUAACGCGUGGGUACCUGCCCCUUGGUCCGGAAUAGCUGCGGGAAACUGCAGGUAAUGCCGGAUAAUAUCCUCGGAUCAACGGUGUGAUUCCGCCGAGGGAGGGGCCCGCGUUCUAUUAGAGAGUUGGUAGGGUAAUGGCCUACCAAGGCGACGAUGGAGACCGGGUGUGAGAGCAUGACCCGGCUCACUGGGACUGAGACACUGCCCAGACACCUACGGGUGGCUGCAGUCGAGAAUCUUCGGCAAUGGGCGCAAGCCUGACCGAGCGACGCCGCGUGCGGGAUGAAGGCCUUCGGGUUGUAAACCGCUGUCGUAGAGGAGGAAAUGCCAUGGGGUUCUCUCCAUGGUUUGACCUAUUCUAGGAGGAAGGACGGGCUAAGUUCGUGCCAGCAGCCGCAGUAA
rnacentral:rRNA from 1 species